CGUCUAUAUACGUAUAGCAUAUCAAUAAGCGGAGGAAAAGAAACUAACUAGGAUUCCCUUAGUAACGGCGAGUGAAGCGGGAAGAGCUCAAAUUUGAAAUCUUCAAGGUUCUACCUUGACGAAUUGUAGUUUAAAGAAGUGUUUUCUGUUGGAGUUUUGGUAAAAGUUCUUUGGAAUAGGACAUCAUAGAGGGUGAGAAUCCCGUAUUUGACCAUUAUUUCCAACUUUGUGAUACACUUUCAAAGAGUCGGAUUGUUUGGGAAUGCAGUCCAAAAUGGGUGGUAAAUUUCAUCUAAAGCUAAAUACUGGCGAGAGACCGAUAGCGAACAAGUACCGUGAGGGAAAGAUGAAAAGAACUUUGAAAAGAGAGUUAAACAGUACGUGAAAUUGUCAAAAGGGAAGCGUUUGACACCAGUGUUGUUUUCUCGAAAAUCAAUUAAAAAUGACGCGGAUUUUGUGUUGUAUUGACUUUAUCAGCUUUCUGCACUUUUUUCCUGUCUUUUUUAAUGCACUUUUCGUUUAACGAGUCAACAUCAAUUUCUUUUGUUGUAAAAGGGUCAUUGGAAGGUGGCUUUCUUUUCGGAGAAAGUGUUUAUAGCCUUUGACUUCUGCAAUCGGAGAGAUUGAGGUCUGCAGCGUAGAUCCUUCUGGAUUAGAUACAUUUGUGCUAAGUUAUAGCCUUUCAUAGACAACUUGUUGACUAUGAUCAGUCAUGUAGCUUACUCGCUUAUGUCAUUUUACCUACGCUUAGGAUGUUGACGAUCAGCUGAGCGCG
rnacentral:rRNA from 1 species